rnacentral:rRNA from 1 species
UACGUAGGGGGCAAGCGUUGUCCGGAUUUAUUGGGCGUAAAGAGCGUGUAGGCGGUUUGGUAGGUCCGUUGUGAAAACUCGAGGCUCAACCUCGAGACGCCGAUGGAAACCAUCAGACUAGAGUCCGGAAGAGGAGAGUGGAAUUCCUGGUGUAGCGGUGAAAUGCGCAGAUAUCAGGAAGAACACCAGUGGCGAAGGCGGCCCGCUGGGCAGUGGCUGACGCUGAGGCGCGACAGCGUGGGGAGCAAACAGG